rnacentral:rRNA from 1 species
UACGUAGGGGGCAAGCGUUGUCCGGAUUUAUUGGGCGUAAAGAGCGUGUAGGCGGCCACACAGGUCAGCUGUGAAAACUCGAGGCUCAACCUCGAGACGUCGGUUGAAACCGUAUGGCUAGAGUCCGGAAGAGGAGAGUGGAAUUCCCGGUGUAGCGGUGAAAUGCGCAGAUAUCGGGAGGAACAUCAGUUGCGAAGGCGGCUCUCUGGACCAGCACUGACACUGAGGCACGAAAGCGUGGGGAGCAAACAGG